UCCCUGGUAGCUCAGCGGUAGAGCAUUCGACUGUUAAUCGAAUGGUCGCAGGUUCGAAUCCUGCCCGGGGAGCCA
rnacentral:tRNA from 1 species